rnacentral:rRNA from 1 species
AUGUAUGGGUACAAGCAUGGGUACAAGUACAGGGACAUUGCCUUGUACCGUGGAAAAAUCUUCGCGCUCAUAUCAUCGGAGCAGCUCUUCACCCAUGAGAUUGAACAGCCAUGUCGCGUACAGCAUGUCAUCAAGGAACACACACCGCUGCCGCCCGGGAUCGGUCCAUCGUCGCCGAAGUUUCUUGUGAAGUACUACAUAGUCGUCUCAUCCGAUAAUAGAAAGCUAUUAAUGGUGCGGUGGAACAUCCCUCACGCGGCCUACGUUCAUCAUUCAAAGAUGAAUCUGCAGGUGUUCGAGGCAGAUUUGGAGAAGAGACAGUGGUUGGAGGUGAAUGACUUGGAUGGCCAGCUCCUCUUCCUGAGCAGGACUUGCUCAAGGGCACUCGCGGGCUCGUCGACGGAACACUACGGGCAGACAUUUCGAGGAAAUCGUGUGUUUAUCUUGGGCACUGACUGGGCACGGAUACGGAGGCGGUUGAACCCAUGCACGUGCCAUGAUUGCGAGAAGCUCGGCAAUGGUGUUCCAAGCUAUUGCGUGUAUGACAUGACGAGUGGAAAGCUUAGCCUUGUUUCGUUACGUAGAACUCGUAGAAGGAAAAAUGCAGGUUCAGAAUGGUUCUUCCCUUCUGGGUGA